UACGGGGGGAGCAAGCGUUGUUCGGAUUUACUGGGCGUAAAGGGCGCGUAGGCGGCGUAACAAGUCACUUGUGAAAUCUCUGAGCUUAACUCAGAACGGCCAAGUGAUACUGCAGUGCUAGAGUGCAGAAAGGGCAAUCGGAAUUCUUGGUGUAGCGGUGAAAUGCGUAGAUAUCAAGAGGAACACCUGAGGCGAAGGCGGGUUGCUAGGCUGACACUGACGCUGAGUGCGCGAAAGCCAGGGGAGCAAACGGG
rnacentral:rRNA from 1 species